rnacentral:misc_RNA from 1 species
CAGAUCUUUGGACUUGUCUAGACACGAACUUUCCCGUGCUUGUUAUAUAUCGAUGUUUCCAGAACAUGUGAGCAUCCAAACGUAAUACGCCACGAAAAUUACUUCGCCACGCGAAUACUUAUGGAAUCGUUCGCCGAUCACGAUUCUCUUUCUUCACGAAGGACUUUCCCUUUGAGGAGAGCUCCCGUGGUGUUGCCCCUUCGGGGUGGUCCUCCCUUGGGGCGUCCGACCACCGGGGACGCCUCACUAACGCUGAAUGGUCGUUCAAUUGGACGGUUGAUACACUCGGAAAGAUGGUACCCUAGGUCAGAUGGGUACAGAACACGCUUGAUAAGAGUGGAGGCUGGAUAUCAAGGCUUCCCGGAGCCACCAUUGGCUUGGUGAAACCACCUGAUCCCUGAAUUUUUUGGUGCCCGGGGGUUGCGAUGGUUGGGGGUUUACGUUGGUUGGGACAGCACCUGCUUUGCAAGAGGGCCGGCUUUGGAUCCAUGCCGCUCAGGUCCCCCUCCCGCUCAACUCCACCUUGGGGGGAAGGGGGGUAAUAUGCUUAUGAAGAAAUUAUACUUUGCGUCAACUAAAAGGACUGAUGGCUGGACAGAAUUGAUUCCUAAUAUAAAAACUGUGUGAAAAGAUCCAAGGGUUGUGAGCUCCAAGGGGUUGAAACGCCCGAGGCCAGGACCCGAGAAACCCCAGAUGGCUUAAACCGUCGGAAGUGUCAGAGGGAUUGAAUUGACGAAGGAACGCUUUUCCCGAAGCUUCUUCUUUGCUGGAGAUUUAUGCCGCCUUCUGAUGGAAAUCUCACUUGAUGUG